rnacentral:lncRNA from 1 species
GAAACAGAUGAUGCCCCAAGUCUAUCUUCACUUGGGCUGCAACAAGAAAGAAGACAGCCCAUGAAAACCGACAGUGCUGAAAGUGAAGCCUGAGAUUCAGUGAAACGGCUGAGGAGUAGCAGAGCCCGAGAAGUGGAGCUGGACACUUGGCUGAAGCGUCAACUUGCAA